AUUGAACGCUGGCGGCAGGCCUAACACAUGCAAGUCGAACGGUAACAGGAAGAAGCUUGCUUCUUUGCUGACGAGUGGCGGACGGGUGAGUAAUGUCUGGGAAACUGCCUGAUGGAGGGGGAUAACUACUGGAAACGGUAGCUAAUACAGCAUAACGUCGCAAAACCAAAGAGGGGGACCUUCGGGCCUCUUGCCAUCGGAUGUGCCCAGAUGGGGUUAGCUAGUAGGUGGGGUAACGGCUCACCUAGGCGGCGAGCCCGAGCUGGUCUGAGAGGAUGACCAGCCACACUGGAACUGGGGCACGGUCCAGGCUCCUACGGGAGGCAGCAGUGGGGAAUAUUGCACAAUGGGCGGAAACCUGAUGCAGCCAUGCCGCGUGUAUGAAGAAGGCCUUCGGGUUGUAAAGUACUUUCAGCGGGGAGGAAGGGAGUAAAGUUAAUACCUUUGCUCAUUGACGUUACCCGCAGAAGAAGCACCGGCUAACUCCGUG
rnacentral:rRNA from 1 species